rnacentral:rRNA from 1 species
GACAGAGGGUGCAAACGUUGUUCGGAAUUACUGGGCGUAAAGCGCGCGUAGGCGGCUUUGUAAGUUAGAGGUGAAAGCCCGGAGCUUAACUCCGGAACUGCCUUUAAGACUGCAUCGCUAGAAUUGUGGAGAGGUGAGUGGAAUUCCGAGUGUAGAGGUGAAAUUCGUAGAUAUUCGGAAGAACACCAGUGGCGAAGGCGACUCACUGGACACAUAUUGACGCUGAGGUGCGAAAGCGUGGGGAGCAAACAGG